UACAUAGGUGGCAAGCGUUGUCCGGAUUUACUGGGCGUAAAGAGCGCGCAGGCGGUCGUUCAAGUCGCGUGUGAAAGCCCCCGGCUCAACUGGGGAGGGUCACGCGAUACUGAUCGACUCGAAGGCAGGAGAGGGAAGUGGAAUUCCCGGUGUAGUGGUGAAAUGCGUAGAUAUCGGGAGGAACACCAGUGGCGAAGGCGACUUCCUGGCCUGUUCUUGACGCUGAGGCGCGAAAGCUAGGGGAGCAAACGGG
rnacentral:rRNA from 1 species